rfam:Mycobacterium sp. Root135 contig_1, whole genome shotgun sequence.
GGCGGUCUUCGGUAGUGGCUGCCGGAGCCCCGCGAAAGGGGCGGCUCCGACCGCUUCGAUCGACGGCCGUC